UACGUAGGGCGCAAGCGUUGUCCGGAAUUAUUGGGCGUAAAGAGCUCGUAGGCGGCUUGUCACGUCGGAUGUGAAAGCCCGGGGCUUAACUCCGGGUCUGCAUUCGAUACGGGCUGGCUAGAGUGUGAUAGGGGAGAUCGGAAUUCCCGGUGUAGAGGUGAAAUUCGUAGAUAUCGGGAGGAAUACCAGUGGCGAAGGCGCUGUCCUGGACGAAGAUUGACGCUGAGGUGCGAAAGCGUGGGGAGCAAACAGG
rnacentral:rRNA from 1 species